GCCCGAGUGGCGGAAUGGCAGACGCGGUGGACUCAAAAUCCAUUGAUGGCAGCAUCAUGGGGGUUCAAGUCCCUUCUCGGGCA
rnacentral:tRNA from 1 species